rnacentral:rRNA from 1 species
AUGCAAGUCGAACGGUAACAUUUCUAGCUUGCUAGAAGAUGACGAGUGGCGGACGGGUGAGUAAUGCUUGGGAACUUGCCUUUGCGAGGGGGAUAACAGUUGGAAACGACUGCUAAUACCGCAUAAUGUCUUCGGACCAAACGGGGCUUCGGCUCCGGCGCAAAGAGAGGCCCAAGUGAGAUUAGCUAGUUGGUAAGGUAACGGCUUACCAAGGCGACGAUCUCUAGCUGUUCUGAGAGGAAGAUCAGCCACACUGGGACUGAGACACGGCCCAGACUCCUACGGGAGGCAGCAGUGGGGAAUAUUGCACAAUGGGGGAAACCCUGAUGCAGCCAUGCCGCGUGUGUGAAGAAGGCCUUCAGGUUGUAAAGCACUUUCAGUUGUGAGGAAAAGUUAGUAGUUAAUACCUGCUAGCCGUGACGUUAACAACAGAAGAA